rnacentral:rRNA from 1 species
ACCCUGACCGAGCAACGCCGCGUGAUGAAGAAGGUUUUCGGAUGCGUAAAGCUCUGUUGUAAGAGAAGAACGGGUGUGAGAGUGGAAAGUUCACACUGUGACGGUAUCUUACCAGAAAGGGACGGCUAACUACGUGCCAGCAGCCGCGGUAAUACGUAGGUCCCGAGCGUGUCCGGAUUAUUGGGCGUAAAGCGAGCGCAGGCGGUUAGAUAAGUCUGAAGUUAAAGGCUGUGGCUUAACCAUAGUAUGCUUUGGAAACUGUUUAACUUGAGUGCAGAAGGGGAGAGUGGAAUUCCAUGUGUAGCGGUGAAAUGCGUAGAUAUAUGGAGGAACACCGGUGGCGAAAGCGGCUCUCUGGUCUGUAACUGACGCUGAGGCUCGAAAGCGUGGGGGGCAAACAGGAUUAGAUACCCUGGUAGUCCACGCCGUAAACGAUGAGUGCUAGGUGUUAGGCCUUUCCGGGGCUUAGUGCCGCAGCUAACGCAUUAAGCACUCCGCCUGGGGAGUACGAACGCAAGGUUGAAACUCAAG